CUAAUUACUGUCCUUUAUCUUAAUGUCAUAUAGAAACAUUAUGUAUAUACUCAAAUGCAGUAGAGAAAACGCUACUUAAAACAAUUCAAAAUUAUUUUGCAAAUAAAAAGUUACUAGGCAAUGGGAACAAUUUUCACCUACUGCAUCUGUCAGUGUUUGAAUUGUUGUAUUUGAAUUUCUUUGUACCAUCUCGAAAUUUCUGAGGACAGAUCAUACCUGAUACCUCUUUUUUUAAUAAGAUUUUACAACAGCUUCACUCAUUGAUAUCGUGGUCACAACACUGGCCACUGAAAACGAUGCAUCAACAUCUAACUCUAACACAUCUGAUGACCCGAGACUUGAUUAUAAGCCUGAUGGCACUGAUUUCACCUCUGCGGCCUCCUAUAUAUCACCUGCUGCCAUACAGCCCUCCACCUCCACAGAUGUUUCCUCUGCCACACCAUCUGCCACCACCGCUGUCCUUAUUUCUCUUCCUACAAUAACAUCUGCUUCACCUAUCGAAGACAUUGCCACCACCACGCCUCCUGCCCUAAGCACAUUCUCUCCUUCCAGCGCCGCUCAUUCUGCCACCUCCACAGCUGAGGUCUCCACCACACUUGCUAGGGUGUGCUUUGGUAGUCGAAUGUAGUACAGCAGAAGCAGUACUGGAAGAGGAAGUCAGAUCUGUGAUGAUUUCACGGAUGAUCAUUGUGGAUGUUUCUGUGCUAAGGGCAGCAGAAAUAGCAGAAGUCAUAAACAAAGAAUCUGUGGUGGUGUCUUCUAAGGUUGCAGAGGUGGAAGUAGUCAUUUUCAUGGCAGCUGUGGCCACAAUGGCAGGGUUAGUGUUAGCAGCCUCUGAAGUGAUAGAUGUAGGGUUGGAUGUCAUUGUCAAUGUAGAGACAGAUGGAGAAGCAGUGGAAGGGCUAGUGAAAGCCUGUGCUGUCAUGGAGGCAGCUGCAGUGUCCACAGCAGUGGAGGUGGUACUAGUGGCAGCGGACAUGUUAGGGAGAGUAGAUUUGGUGAUGGAGUUAGAAGCUGUUGAAAGAGUAGUGGUGGAAGGAGCCAAAGCAGUUGAAACCACAGAUGUGGUAGACACAUCCACUGUACUGGAGGCAGCUUCCUUGAUGAGAGGGGUUGAAGUGAUUCUGGGGGCAGAUGUGACUGGAGCAGCUGUUGUGGCAGCAGGGUCUUUUACUCUGUCACCCAGGCUGGAGUGA
rnacentral:lncRNA from 1 species